ensembl:lncRNA
AUGGAAAAAUGGCAGCUCCAUACACUGAUACUGACCUACUUGACAGCACAGUUGGAGAGCCGUAAUGCAAAACUCAGAGCUUUGGCAGAGGAAGGUCUCCAGUUCCAACUGAAGCAAUUCGACAUGUGCAGUGAAUUGGUCUGUGAGAACGAGCGCAAACAUGACCUUGCUGAGAAGGAAAAGGAAGUGGAUGAGGUGCUGGACUUGCAGGUUGCUACUCUGACUCCAGUGGCAACAAUUGCUCCACAGUUCACAAACUACUACAGUUAUUUCACAAAAAACUUGGCUUGCAUGGAACAUCUGCUGUCUGUCUACAAUUACUACAUUGGCGGAAACGAAAUUGAAUUUCUCGAUGAAGCUGAGAAUUCCCUCAAGGAGAGUGAGGAUAUACUUGUGGAAUUUGAAGAGGCGGAUAACAAACAAAAUGCUGCAUCUCUGGAGCUCGUCAGAUGCAUGAAGACGACCUCCAAGGUGGUCAGUCAGCAGCUUGCAAGUUCAUUUGAAAUGCUGCUGAAGCUGUGCUCGCUGGCCUGCCGCUAUUCAGUGAAUGUCCAGCAGGGCAAAGAGGAAGAACAACUUGGUGAUUCAAGGAUCCGUGAGCUUUUCUCCACAGUGAUGCUCAGUAAAGUCUGAAAUUACGUAGCUCAUGCACUUUGAGUCCUCUGAGAAAACUGUUCAAAUUAUUGUAGCCGCUACACAUUUUUUUGUCUCCUGUCGGUGAAGUUUAAAGUCCUGGGUCACAAGAAAAGGAACAGCUGGAGCUCUGAGCUCAAACAGCUGCAACCGCUGCAACAACAGCAAUCCCAGAAACGAAUGGAAAAGUUAUAAGGAAACGGGCUUCAAAGGAGACAAGUAGACCCACUUCCUGUAUGUGUGGAAGCAGCAGUGGGAGAGAGGAAAUAGUUUAACACGCCUGUGUACCGGACACACAAGCAAGAAUGGCGAAAGGAGCAGGACCAGCAGAAGGUAUGGCUAAGGUCAUCCCACUGUGUUUCACAUCAAGGAGGAAAGAGCUAAUUCAGCCUCAGAGCAGCCCAAGGAACCGCCGGGCACUGAAGAACUUUCUCCAGGAAGUUGAGGGUCCAGGAAGGAUUAUGUCCUGUCAAUGCUGCAUCUUCCGGUGAAGGCCAUGCAAGGUGGCGGCACAGCGAAACCGGGAAAAACCCGCCGUUGUUGCAGUGAAGAGUGAACUGGCAAAUCAAUAAAGUCUGCAGGACUUCAGCCAGAGUGGCUACGGAGAACCAAGACAAAAGCUUUGCUUUCUGCAGGUGCGAAGCAGAACAAAUAAAAGACAGAAGGCAGGACGACAUUAAAGUUUCCUGUGUGGAUGCUUCAGAGGACAAAGGCAAGAAGAAACGAAAUGCUGGCAAAAGUGAAAGAAACUUCACCAGGAAGCUCAAGGAAGACGAAGGUGGAGGAAGACCUGCAGUCGGGUCAGCUCUUCAAAAUCACAAUCAGAAAUACUCCAUUGAUCAUCCAGGGGAAAUUCUUACCUUUCUGAGUCAAAAUAAAGCUUUUGUUGAAGAAACACAUGACAGAAGUAAAGUUGCUGACAAAAACAUGGCUCAUUAUAUAAAUCAGCUCAACUAUGAACAUUUAGUUGACAUAGUGUUCGUAUUUGAACAUUAAUAGCAUCAUAAAGACAGAGCACCGCCCUCAUCUGAGGCUCAGUCAAACCUGGCCUCCGGAUGUAGGCGGGGCAGCGCUGUGUCGCACUGUGUCCGUUGCCGAGUCUCUUCUCAGUAUUUUAAUGAAAAUUAAAAGAAAAUGUAAAAACGGCCAAGUUCAAUUCAUAAUUAGUUUAUAAAAUCACUGGAAAAUACAACCAUUUAUUUUUGUAAUUUUAUUUUAUUUUUAUUUUUGUGACGGUCGGGGAAGCCCGGCCUCCCCUUCCUCCUCACGGCACGUCGCUGCUCCGUUGUGUUUUGGUUUCCCAGCGUCCCUGUUCCGUAAUAAAAGAUUAUCAUUUUUUCUUUUUAUAAUCUAUUUUUGUCCUGGAAAUUAGUUUUCUUUGUUGGCCUGCUUGUGCCUUGAGCUUAGCUCUUUUUUUUGUCUUUUGAUAACCUUUUUUUGUCCUGGAAAUUAGUUUUCUUUGUUGGCCUGCUUGUGCCUUGAGCUUAGCUCUUUUUUUUGUCUUUUGAUUCAAUAUUUUUGUACUGGAAAUUAGUUUUCUUCGUUAGCGUACUUGUGCCUUGAGUUUUGCUCUUCUUUUUUCUUUUUUUAGGCUAUUUGCGUCCUGGAAAGUAGCGACUUACUUCCACUACUUCCCUACACCUUGUUCUAAAUUCUCCACCCAUUGUUCUAAAUUCCGGCACUCUGUUCCAUCUUCUUGUCUGGAGCUCAGAGUCCCUCACACACCCGCAGGAAGGUGAAGAAGGGCAUGGUGGACUCGACGGCCUUGGCUUUUCCCUUCGGCUCGGCAUCGUCUCUGCUCAUCUGCCACUUGAGGAACGUGGCAGCUGAGAUCAGUCCCCAGUCGUAGAAUAAAUCGAAGAACAUCUGCAGGAAGUCUGGAGAACAGGAGAGGAGAUAGACAUUAGAGGAUUUCUGUGAGUGCUCCUUCUUGGUGUCAAAAGCCACAAUGUAGUCAUGAAAUUCAUCUUACCUGUAGGGUGACCGAGGGACUCAUUCAGAGCCUGAAGGGCAUAAAGCGCCUGCAGCUGUCGCUCAUCGUCGGAGUCCAGGUAUUGUCGUAGGACCGGCAAGCUCUUCUUCAGGACGACUGUGUCCACUCGACAGCUGGCUUCAUUACCUGUGCAGCAAAGCAAGAGAAAGCGUGAGGGUGAGUGCAUGGCGAGAAGCCGCUCCGUUCCCACUGGGAAUGUUAUAGCGGGGCUGACACCAGAGGAGGGUCUCCUCCAGGUGCUGCGAUGCUUACCGUUCACUGCGGGCUGACGCACGGCCUUCAACACAGCUCUCAUGAAGGAGGACAACUUCAGCUGACUGUCCUCCACGUUGGCCUGAAAAAGAGAAGAACACAGCGGCUCUAAAGGCUCCGUGGGCUCCACAGGCGCCACUGAUUCCACCUGCUCCACCUGUUCCUCUGGCUGAAGGGCCUCCACUGGUUCCACCACUUUCACUGUCAACAAAAAAUGUAGAGUCACAUUAGUGUUUAUGUGGAGUUUUUACACACUGUUGAAAACAACAACGAAGUCAAGCUGUUCUGAUAUUUAAGAAAUAAUCAUAGCAAAACAUGUGUUUGCGUCAUGCAGGUUUGGUAUCGACCACCGUCAGCUCACCUGGCUCAACUCUGUUUUCGUCCAUGGCUGCUUUUUGUUUGGCCUCUUUUUUUCUCUGUCUCCUGGCUCUCUUCUUCAUCUUCUGUAGCUCCUCAUAGUUCAAUUGAGCCAGUUUCAGCGGUUCCACAGGCUCCAGCGAUUCCGCCGGCUGAAUGAGCUCCAGCGGUUCCACUGGCUGAAGGGACUCUUGUGGUUCCACCUGCUCCACUGGUUCCACUGCUGUCACUGUCAACAAAAAAUGUAGAGUCACAUUUGUGUUUUUGUGGGGUUUUUACACACUGUUUAAAAUAACAACCAAGUCAAGCUGCUCUGAGCUGCUCUGAAAUUUAGGAAACAAUCACAAUAAAACAUGCAGGUUUGGUAUCGACCACCGUCAGCUCACCUGGCUCAACUCUGGUUUCCUCCAUGGCUGCUUUUUGUCUGGCCUCUUUUUUUCUCUGUCUCCUGGCUCUCUUCUUCAUCUUUCGUAGCUCCACAGAGCUCAAUUCAGCCGGUUUCAGCAGUUCCACAGGCUCCAGUGGUUCCACCGGCUGAAUGAGCUCCAGCGGUUCCGCCGGCUGAACGAGCUCCAGCGGUUCCGCCGGCUGAACGAGCUCCAGCGGGUCCGCUGACUGAAGGUGCUCCAGCAGUUCCACCGGAUGAAUGAGCUCCAGCGGUUCCGCCGGCUGAAGGGGCUCUAGUGGGUCCACCAACUGAAGAGACUCCAGUGGUUCCACCGGUUGAACGAGCUCCAGCGAUUCCGCCGGCUGAAGGUGCUCCAGCGGGUCCACUGGCUGAAGGGACUCUUGUGGUUCCACCUGCUCCACUGGCUCCACCGCUGUCACUGUCAACAAAAAAUGUAGAGUCACAUUUGUGUUUUUGUGGGGUUUUUACACACCGCCUCGAAUCAUACUGUCCGACGUAUCUGAGACCGGGAGAAACAAGACGCAGUGAUUGGUUCCGCAUAUAAAUGUUCUGGCUGUAGUCCUUCGGUGGUAUGAAGAGUACAUCACUUGACGCUUCUGCCAUCUUCUGGUUUUAACUGUUAAUUAAUCUGUGUGCAAGUUUCUUUCUUUCUUUCUUUCUUUCUUUCUUUUUUCAUUUUUCUAUUUAUUUAUUGAGUGAGUGUGCAUGUCAAACAGUGUCAACUAUCCUGUAUAUGUGUGUUUAAUAUGUUGUUCUACAUUUGUUAUUGUUAUAAAUAUAUUAAAUAUGCCCCAG